ACGAACGCUGGCGGCGUGCCUAAUACAUGCAAGUCGAACGCAUUUUCUUUCACCGUAGCUUGCUACACCGAAAGAAAAUGAGUGGCGAACGGGUGAGUAACACGUGGGUAACCUGCCCAUCAGCGGGGGAUAACACUUGGAAACAGGUGCUAAUACCGCAUAAUUCCAUUUACUGCAUGGUAGAUGGAUGAAAGGCGCUUUUGCGUCACUGAUGGAUGGACCCGCGGUGCAUUAGCUAGUUGGUGGGGUAACGGCCUACCAAAGCUGCGAUGCAUCGCCGAACCUAGGAGGGGCAUGGCCCACCCGGGGCCUGAGAACCGCCCCGCACUCCUACGGAAGGAGACGUAAGGAAUCUUCGGCAAUGGACGCAAGUCUGACCGAGCAACGCCGCGUGAGUGAAGAAGGUUUUCGGAUCGUAAAACUCUGUUGUUAGAAAAGAACAAGGAUGAGAGUGGAAAGUUCAUCCCUUGACGGUAUCUAACCAGAAAGCCACGGCUAACUACGUG
rnacentral:rRNA from 1 species